rnacentral:rRNA from 1 species
UACGUAGGGUGCAAGCGUUGUCCGGAAUUAUUGGGCGUAAAGAGCUCGUAGGCGGUUUGUCGCGUCUGCUGUGAAAACUCGGGGCUUAACUCCGGGCCUGCAGUGGGUACGGGCAGACUAGAGUGCGGUAGGGGAGACUGGAAUUCCUGGUGUAGCGGUGAAAUGCGCAGAUAUCAGGAGGAACACCGGUGGCGAAGGCGGGUCUCUGGACCGUAACUGACGCUGAGGAGCGAAAGCGUGGGGAGCGAACAGG